UUCCUGCAGUCAAAUACUCAGUCAAAAACAAUUCUUUCUUCUGAUCCUAUUCUACACGUUUUCCUCUUCAAAAAAAAAACCCCCACUCCCUAAUAUCUCUCCAACAAACAAUCAAAUCUCUACAAAGUUGUUAUAUAUCUUUUUUUCCCCCACCUCAGCUAUUAUCAACUGUGUUCCACAAAUUCCAGAGCAGUUUCUCCUCUCUUCCGCAAAAAGUUUAGAGGAAGAUCGAGCAGUUGCGAACCCAAUUUCUCCCUGCAAAUCCAAAUUUUUCUCCAUUGCUAUCAAGGGUGAAAUUUUGCACGUUGUUGAGGUUGGGACAGGAAGUUGGUGGAGGAGUUAAGCUUUUGAGAUUGAGCGACGACGAGCGUGGAGGAUGUUGAGCAGAAUUCAUGGAUUAUUUAUGGUUGGCUUAAUAUUGUUGGAUAUGUCGUGUCUUCAUACUCGGCAUUUUCCGUGUCUUGAACGCUUCCGCUAAGUGUCUUUUCUUUAAAAUCGUUUUAGUAUUGAGAACCUAACUCUUUUCAAAAGUGUCUACUUUCUAGUCUUUAUUUCUUAGAAUUGGUACUUUGUUGAAUUGAUACUAUGUUGUUUUCUAAGUUAUUUUAAGUAUUUAAAUAUUUUGGUCAAA